CCGGUGUUGCGUGAGCCGUACCAUUUCCUUUCCAGAGGGGUGACCAGCAAAUCUGUUGUGUAGCGUGUAAUCAGUCUGCGAGUCAAGGUCUGGCUCAAAAUGGCUGUGCAGAAACAGUUUUGAAGAUCUGUCGUUGUUCAUGAGAAAUGACCAUGUUGCGUGUUCCAAACUUCAGAGGACAGCUCUGAGAGAGCCGGAGGACAUGCUUUGGAAGUGAGAACGGCAGCCAUGAAAACCCAGGAGCAGCGAUCCAGUCCCCUAAAAUCGCACAUACAAAGUGAUCCCCGUCCCAUGGCACAAAUGAAGACUCUUCAGUUUCGUUGCAUUGCACCUAAAGCCCCAACAGUGGGUUCCUCUUCUGCAGUGCUGUCCUGCCAACCACCCCCUGCCCUUCCAGAGCCUUCGACAGCCAUAAGCCCCAAAUCCAUCCUAGUACCUGCACAGAAAUAUGCUCUCAUGCAGGUCGCUGGACAAGGGGGUACUUUCUCACUGGUGGCCUUACCUCAGACACCACCGCAACAUCAAAUCCAGAAGAACCUAAAACUUCCCAUUCCUAGAUACCAGCCGAUUAGAAGCAAGAGAACCCCAGAAAAAGCCAGUAGAACGACACAGACUGCAAAGUCAUCUGCAGUGAAAGUGAAAACUGAGAGUCCGGAACAGUCAUCUGAACAGAUCGUUAAGACAGACUCUGCUCCUCAGUCUAAAGUCUUGUUCCCAGACAAUGCUGUCCUGUACCCAGGACCACAGACAGAGAAACCUGUUGAAAGAAAUGUGGAUUCUCUCAGCAACCUCAGCUAUCCCACUAGAGCCUCCACGGCUACACUUGUUGCUCCUGUCAGUAACAGCUCACCAGUAAAAGCCCAGGUAGAACAUGCAGUCUCUGCAGCGAGUGCUAUUACUGUCCUCUCCCCCACCAUCUUCAGCAAAGCUGUGCAGAUCAUUCCCUCUCCCCCCAAGGGGAAGCUCCCAAUCCUGCCCUAUGCUAAGGUAAAGAACUCCCUCUUGCCAUCUACUGGCCUUGCCAAUACCCAGUCCCCAGGGAAGAGCGCCUCAAUUCAGCUUAAAAACAGCCUGAAAUGCCCCCCAGACAUCAAAGCCAAGACCAUGGACAAUGGCAGCAGAAGUACCUGUCUCAGCCAGGGUUCAGAUGCCACCCAGUGCAAGAAACCUCCAGACAAAAGGCGGGGGAGGAAGAGGAAAACUAUGGAGGAUGUUGUGGCCUUCGAGGCAAGGAAGAAGAGAUCGCUGUCGUUUUUCUGCAGGAGAGUUCCAGAAAAACCACCACCUGGAACCCAGUCUGCUUCCCCCCAGGCCAGGGUGGUGGACAUUUCGAAAAAGUAUCGCAGCAUUCGUCCAAAGCCUAUUUUAGUGAUGGAAACCACUGUUCCUCAACUUGUACCUCUACCGUCUCUCUCAACCUCUGAGAGCGUUGGCCGGGAGCUCAUUCUGAGGCAGCAGAUGUCAGGAAAACCCUUGAAUGCUGCCCGACCAAGCUUAGUGUCCAUUCAAACCCCUGGCCAGCAGUCUGUGGCCAAAGCUGGAAGUGGCAGCAGAUCUACGAACAGCCGCCCACAUGCACUCCACCGGUGCCCCACCUGCAGUAGGUGUUUCCAGUUUAAGCAUCACCUACAGAGUCAUUUAAACAGCCACAGUAACCUGAGACCGUAUGGUUGCCCAGUGUGCAGGAAGGCCUAUGCUCACUCAGGUAGCCUCAGCACACAUAUGAAGCUGCACCAUGCUGAGGGGAGGCCUAGGAAGAGCCUCUGCUGUGAAUUCUGCGAGAAGGCAUUUGGCUAUGUUGGUGUCUAUUUCAGCCACCUCAGAGAAGUGCACAAGGUUAUACUCACUGUGGAACCAUCCAUCAGUCAGCAUGAGGAGAACACGCCCAUAGAGGGGUGUACAGAUUCUGAUGAUCAGGCUUCAGAGCAGCAUGUGGACCCGGUGGAAUUGCAGAUCAAAUGUGGCCGCUGCCAGGCCAUCACUCCCACCUUCGCCGACAUGAAGUUACACUUGCUGUACGUGCACGGUGAGGAAGUGCAGGUACGUCUGAAGGAGGGGGCCAUGCACGGGGGCCGCGAGGCUGAAGACGAGCUGGUCAAGCAUGCGGCCCACUACUGGAGGCAGCUCAACGAGCGGCGCAACCUGGUGCGCUGUGGAAACUGUGACGAAGAGUUUUUUUCGUUCUCUAAGCUCAAGCGCCACCUGCACUCCCACCACCAGGGGGCUAGAGAGAGUCAAAAGGAAGAGCAGGAACAGGAGAAAGAAGGUAAAGAGCACACUUCUGGGGGCCCAGCUAAGAGUGUGACCCUUAGAGUGGGGUUACAGUUUAAUUGCAUCCUGUGCAGUGAGGUCUUGGACAGGAAGCAGGACAUUCUGGAGCACUGGAGGGGACGUCAUAACUGUGAAAACCCGGCCAUGCUGUGGGAGGUACUGGACUCGAGGGGAGAUGAUACCUGCUCACAACCCAAAGUAGCAUCCUAAAAACAUGAUCACUCACGGGAGAUCAAAGCCCACCCCUCUAACAGGAUUAGAGGAUGGAGGGAAAGAAGGAGGAGAGUGCCUGUUUUAGAGGAGACCGGAAGAGAUGGGGCAGAGGAGCAAAGAGACAAGUGGGAGGUCAGAGACGGAGUGAUGUUGAAAAUAAUAUAAGGAGACAAACAGAAUGACCCAGAAAAAGAAAGAAGGAACGAUGAUGGUGUUGAUGAAUUCUUCAUGAACACUGAUGAAUGGUGACUAAUGAAAGACUGUUCACCAGUGAGUACGUCUGAUAAUGAGCUCCUCCACACAAAUCCUCCUGCUUCUGCCGUGCAGGGUGGGGUCCAGCACCCAAACAUCCUGGAUUUAUACCCACUGCCUGAGUAAGACCAAGAGGAUUCUAAAGGACUCCACCCACCCAAACCACUAUCUGUUCUCACGGCUGCCAAGCAGGAUGAGGUACAGAAGCAUAAAGUCCAGAGCUAGCCGGUUCUUCCGCCGGGCCAUCAGGCUGCUAAACGGUCAGUAGUGCUGGUGUAUCAGUCUUUGGGCCUGCUACUACACUUCUGAGUCAUCAUCAUGAUGAUCUCCAUGGACAAUCCACACUGCAUCUACACCUCAAACAGACUCACUCUGAUCUUACUGUACAAAUCUAUACCUGCACAUAUAGACUGACAUCUUGUAAAUCUUCUAUCCAUAUCUUCUGGAAUAUAUAUAUCAGUAGUCAUUUAUCUACCUCAGACUCACAAAAUGCAUAUAUGUAAAUGUGUACAACUUUACAUAUCAUAGCUUUUAUUUCAUAACAUAUUAUUGUACAAAAACUGUACAUUUGAAUGGUGCAAUACUGGUAUAUACUAAUGUGUACAUUGUGUGUAUUUAGAAUCUGAUGUGUGUAAGAAAAAAAGAUUUUUACUCACCUUCGCAAGUGAUUGUAAAUGUGAUGUGACAAUAAAUGUGAUGAUUUCAUUAAAAAGGCUUCAGCUGACUGUUCUAAGACUUUUUAUGAUUUGAAGCCCAAUAAAGCUGUAUUUUCAGAAAUAUGAACUGAUAACCAUAAGUAAUGACAGUUUUACUGUAAACAUUAAAAUCUUUCUCAAAUCAAAAUUCAUAAUCUAUUUGAUAUUAUACAC